rnacentral:lncRNA from 1 species
AAGCUGUUUCUGGGCUAAAAGCUAAAUUUUCCAAGCUAAAAAUUUUGACUUUUAGCCCAAGGGUUGAAGAUGAUCAUAGGGCUUUAAAAGUUUGCAUUUUAACCAAAAAUCACCCUAUAAUUUUAUUUAAUGAUAAAAACAAAAAAAAGAAAAUAAUAAAAUACAAAAAAUAACCUCAUAAGAGCGCGUGCAUUGCAAAUUCUGUAAACUUACCAUAUAUAUUGCAGCAAUCCACACCUUUUAUUAUUAUUUUCUUUAAUAGCUUCAAACCCUAGCCUCAUAGCCCCACGUGCCUCUUUCCUCUUUCUUUAUUUCAUGUUUAGGAGCUUUAAUGAUGAUAGUUAGUACUUUCAAUGCUCCCCUCAUGUUCCCGCUCUCACCAUUUUCAACAAAAAUGUAAUAAACUAUCCCCCAUAAUAAUCUUAACUGAUGAUUUCCUAUUUGAACUUCUUGUGAGAAUGGAAUAGGCUCUCAUCUUUCCUAAAAUUAAAGAAAGACUUGCUCUCUUCAAACUUAAAUGACUAAUUGUUUUGGAUGACACUUCCUGAAGAGAUUCGACCGUUAUAAUACUUUUGACGACAUUCUCGUGUAUAGAAUAAUUAUUUGGGUAUUCAUUGUUAGAAUGUUCACAGCUCAUCCAUUAAUCAGAAUAACAACUAAUCAAAAAACACAACUAAUCAUUUGUAUCUAGUUAAUGUUGAUGACAAACAUUUUCCAAGUUUAUUUUUCAAACCAUUGGCCACUAUUUUCUUGGCCCCCAAAACCAUAGAUGCUAGUGUGCAUUUUCCAGUUGAGCUUUGUCUAUUGUCCAUUGUUUUCUCUGCCAUGGUUGAUGAAAUAGUGAUAGUACUAGUGUUCAAUUUAAGAAAUAGUUAGUGUUUAGUUUACAAAAUAGUGAUAAUAUUAGUGUUUAGUUUAAAAAAUAGUCAAUGUUCAGUUUACGAAAUAGUGAUAAUAUUAGUGUUCAGUUUAAGAAAUAGUCAGUUUUCAGUUUAGGAAAUAGUGAUAAUACUAGUGUUUGAUUUAAGAAAUAGUUAGUGUUUUGUUUACGAAAUAGCGAUAGUAUCAGUGUUCUGUUUAAGAAAUAGUUAGUGUUUAAUUUACGAAAUGGUGAUAGUACUUGUUUACGAAUUAGUGAUAGUAAUAGUGUUCGGUUUAAGAAAUAGUUAAUGUUUAGUUUAUAAAAUAGUGAUAGUAUUAGUGUUCAGUUUAAGAAAUAGUUAAUGUUUAGUUUAUAAAAUAGUGAUAGUAUUAGUGUUCAGUUUAAGAAAUAGUCAGUAUUCAGUUUAUGAAAUAAUCAGUGUUUAGUUUAAGAAAUAGUGAUAGUACUAGUGUUCGGUUUAAGAGUUAGUCAUUAUUUGGUUUGAGAAAUAGUUUUAUAGAAAUAAUCAAUAUUCAGUUGUACAAAUAACUAGUGUUAACAUGAAAUGACACAAACUUAAAAAAUUGUCCAAACUAAAGAUAAAAUCACUAUUUCGAAAUUAAAAUAAGCAUUGUUUAUCAAACUGAAAAAUGAAAAAUUUUCUUUAUAUUUUGUCUUGUAAUAUUAUUACUUAGUUUGUUCCAAAAAAAAUUAUGAAACAAUCGUCAAAUAAACAUACAAUAAAAUAAAAAGUAAAAAUUGUAAUAUUUAUGGAGUGAUAGUAGAGUGACAUGAGAGAUGAGAGAAAAUAAAAAAAGUAGAUGUGAAUGGGUGAGGUUAGACGAGAGAGAAAUUUGAUGGAAUAUGUGAAAGAGGAGAGAGAGAGAGAUGAGCUAAUAACGGUGGAGGGAGAAAGAGAGAGUGAGGAAAGUAUGCGUGACUGAGUGAUGUGACGCGCGCGUCAAAUUUUGUUUUUGAUUUUUUGUUUUUUGAAUUAUUAUGUUAAACUUUUGUCCUUUUUUAUUUAAAACUUAAGUCAUUUCUAUUAAAAUUUAAGCUCCAUUUAUUAAAUAAAGUUAAUGGAUGAUUUUUUGUUAAUAAAAAGUUUAUAGAAGCCAUUUUCAUUAAAGCUCUUUUUUUCUUUCUUUCUUUUCUUAAACAGAAAAUGCACUUGCAGUGCAAGAGUGAAUUGCAAUAUUAUAUUUUUCUAAUGGAAAUUUCCUGUUUUUUUUUUUGAACAAACAAUAUUAUCUACAGUAGAAUAGGGUCUUACAACAAUCUAGCAAUAAUAUAGUUCAAAUUCGCCUUUGGCGAGAUUCGAACCUAAGACCUCUCACUUAUAAGUGAAGAGGAAUACCACUUAACCGUAGUACUAAGUGGCAGAAUUUUCCGUUCAUUAAUAUGCUAAAAAAAUGAACCACAACCAGUGGCCCAAUGGGAAGUGACACGCCCCAAUCCUGAUAUUCCCCGAAUACCAGGAUAGGCACGUGCUGGCCGACAUCCAAGGGUGACGAAAACCAUUUAUUAAGUGCAAAAACUGAAAACAAGAGAUAGAUAAGACUUAUAAAUAUAAAAGAAUAAUGAAUAUGCAUUUAAGGAACGUGUUCAAAGCAUACAACUAACUAGAAUACUAAAAGAAAUAAUAUAAAAUUGAAUGAAACAAAAGAUGGCUCCUACACCGAGAGGACUCGAAGAUGCCGAUGUGGAAAUGUCUGGACGCCAGGAUUGUAUGUCUCGA